rnacentral:rRNA from 1 species
UGAACGCUGGCGGCGUGCCUACUACAUGCAAGUCGAGCGAACAGACGAGGAGCUUGCUCCUCUGACGUUAGCGGCGGACGGGUGAGUAACACGUGGAUAACCUACCUAUAAGACUGGGAUAACUUCGGGAAACCGGAGCUAAUACCGGAUAACAUGUUGAACCGCAUGGUUUAACAGUGAAAGACGGUCUUGCUGUCACUUAUAGAUGGAUCCGCGCCGCAUUAGCUAGUUGGUAAGGUAACGGCUUACCAAGGCAACGAUGCGUAGCCGACCUGAGAGGGUGAUCGGCCACACUGGAACUGAGACACGGUCCAGACUCCUACGGGAGGCAGCAGUAGGGAAUCUUCCGCAAUGGGCGAAAGCCUGACGGAGCAACGCCGCGUGAGUGAAGAAGGUCUUCGGAUCGUAAAACUCUGUUAUUAGGGAAGAACAAAUGUGUAAGUAACUAUGCACGUCUUGACGGUACCUAAUCAGAAAGCCACGGCUAACUACGUG